AUUGAACGCUGGCGGCAGGCCUAACACAUGCAAGUCGAGCGGAGCUGCGGACGGGUGAGUACUGCCUAGGAAUCUGCCUGGUAGUGGGGGAUAACGUCCGGAAACGGGCGCUAUUACAGCAUACUAUCAGAUGAGCCUAGGUCGGCUUAGCUAGUUGGUGGGGUAAAGGCUUACCAAGGCGACGAUCCCUAACUGGUCUGAGAGGAUGAUCAGUCACACUGGAACUGAGACACGGUCCAGACUCCUACGGGAGGCAGCAGUAGGGAAUAUUGGGCAAUGGACGAAAGCCUGAUCCAGCCAUGCCGCGUGUGUGAAGAAGGUCUUCGGAUUGUAAAGCACUUUAAGUUGGGAAGCGUUACCAACAGAAUAAGCACCGGCUAACUACGUGCCAGCAGCCGCGGUAAUAC
rnacentral:rRNA from 1 species